UUUAAAAACUGAAUAUUGAUUUGGAAAAAGUAUUUUAUUUUGGAAUUUUCUAUUCAAGCUUUCACUAAAUCCAGGGGAACGUAGGUGUUUUGUGCACCGAGCCUAGUUUGACGCGGUGUUCUUCGAACCUGAUUAAAGUUUUAUGCAGGCAGAAGCAGGUUAAGCACAAUACAAAUUUGUGAGAUGAGAUAGAUAAAAGGCAAUAUAUUUAAUAUAAUAAACAUGAGUUAGAUGGUACACGGAGGAGAGGUUUUAGUUUAAGUUGCGAGGAAAAAAACUGGCUGGGACAGACCCCUUGCCAAUGGGGGUGGAUCGGGGAGCUAGGUAAAGGCCCAAAGGGACCCUUGCCGAAAUUCCAUAAUACGAAGACAUAGUGAUGGGCUAGCUAAACUUCAACAAAACAAUUAAGCUGCGUGGCCGUAGCGACUUAAAAGAUAAGUAAAGAAAAGCACAAUAAACCUUAAGAUUUGAAACUGGCAAUCUCGUAGACAGAUGCUGAAAGCUGUAAAUAAAAAUGAACUAGUUUGGCAGGAAAGUUAGGGUAAAGCACGUUCGUAGCAUAAAAUUUACAAUAUAAAUAAAUUGCACGUAAAAGUAAAGAAGUUUGAAGAGGAAGAUUUGGAAUGUACAAAUAUAAAAUAAACCUAAAAUUAUGAAGUAAAAAUAAAAUCGUAGAAUCCUUACGUUCUGGACGUAACAGUAGGACAUUUUAAAAACAAAAUUAUUCUGAGAGUGACUUGUAUUUAAUUAUAUUAUUAAGUGUUUAUUUUAGAAAAUUGAUGUUAUUAUUGUUCGCCAAUUUAAAAGAAAAUGAAAAAAUAUACCUCCACUCGUGUUUUAACCAAAGAUGACACUAUAUAUAAGUGGAGCGUUAAGCAAUUACGCCACCAGGAACACAACAGCGUUCUUGGGUCAAAACUAGGUCGAGUGAACUUUUUUAGAUUGGAAUUAAUCAAUAAAAUCUCUAAAGUUAAAAGAUGCAGAUCCGCGCCAUACAAUAGAAAUAAAAUUAACAAGAAAGGAUCUCGUGUAGCUUCAGCGGCGUAAUUAGUUUACGCCCCACUCAUGUUUAGUGACGUUCCUGAUUCAAAUGCGGAGCAACGUAGAUUUUUUCUCGUUUCUCCAAA